GGGGCCGUAGUCUAGCCUGGCUAGGAUGCGUGGCUUGGGCCCACGUGAUCCCGGGUUCAAAUCCCGGCGGCCCCA
rnacentral:tRNA from 1 species